rnacentral:rRNA from 1 species
AUUGAACGCUGGCGGCAGGCCUAACACAUGCAAGUCGAGCGAGCGGCGGACGGGUGAGUAAUGUAUGGGGACUGCCCGAUAGAGGGGGAUAACUACUGGAAACGGUAGCUAAUACCGCAUACUAUCGGAUAACCCAUAUGGGAGUAGCUAGUAGGUGAGGUAAUGGCUCACCUAGGCGACGAUCCCUAGCUGGUCUGAGAGGAUGAUCAGCCACACUGGGACUGAGACACGGCCCAGACUCCUACGGAGGCAGCAGUGGGGAAUAUUGCCCAAUGGGCGCCAGCCUGAUGCAGCCAGGCCGCGUGUAUGAAGAAGGCCCUAGGGUUGUAAAGUACUUUCAGUCGGGAGGCGUUACCGACAGAAGAAGCACCGGCUAACUCCGUGCCAGCAGCCGCGGUAAUUC